rnacentral:misc_RNA from 1 species
UUUCCGUAGGUGAACCUGCGGAAGGAUCAUUAAUGAGUUGUCAUGGGGUUCGAUGCUGGCAGCCAGUUUUUGGAUGCAUGUGCUUGCCCUAACAAUCAUCUUCUUCCAAACACCUGUGCACAUUUUUGAGGGAGUCUUGAGUUGGUUGCCGCUCUUGGGUGAUUUUCUCACAUUCCCUUAAAUCAUUAUACGCUAUUAACAAUGUUGAACGUGCUCUGUGCCGCAAGGCCAUUAAUAUAAUACAACUUUUAACAACGGAUCUCUUGGCUCUCGUAUCGAUGAAGAACGCAGC